rnacentral:rRNA from 1 species
GACGAACCAUGCAAACGUUAUUCGGAUUCACUGGGCGUAAAGCGUGCGUAGACGGCUAUCUAAGUCGGGUGUGAAAGCCCCGGGCUCAACCUGGGAAUUGCAUUCGAGACUGAAUAGCUAGGGUACGGUAGAGGGAAGCGGAAUUUCCGGUGUAGCGGUGAAAUGCGUAGAUAUCGGAAGGAACAUCAGUGGCGAAAGCGGCUUCCUGGACCAGUACCGACGUUCAGGCACGAAAGCGUGGGGAGCAAACAGG